rnacentral:rRNA from 1 species
UUGCUAUGAGCUGUUUUAGCGGCGGACGGGUGAGUAACGCGUGAGGAACCUGCCUUUCAGAGGGGGACAACAGUUGGAAACGACUGCUAAUACCGCAUGACACAUAGGUGUCGCAUGGCAUUUAUAUCAAAGAUUUAUCGCUGAAAGAUGGCCUCGCGUCUGAUUAGCUGGUUGGUGAGGUAACGGCCCACCAAGGCGACGAUCAGUAGCCGGCCUGAGAGGGUGAACGGCCACAUUGGGACUGAGACACGGCCCAAACUCC